UCUGGCGGCAGUAGCGCGGUGGUCCCACCUGACCCCAUGCCGAACUCAGAAGUGAAACGCCGUAACGCCGAUGGUAGUGUGGGGUCUCCCCAUGCGAGAGUAGGGAACUGCCAGAC
rnacentral:rRNA from 1 species